rnacentral:miRNA from 1 species
ACAGCUUUUUUAUUUCCAGUUA